CCUACGGGAGGCAGCAGUGGGGAAUAUUGCACAAUGGGGGAAACCCUGACGCAGCGACGCCGCGUGAGUGAAGAAGUAUUUCGGUACGUAAAGCUCUAUCAGCAGGGAAGAAAAUGACGGUACCUGACUAAGAAGCCCCGGCUAACUACGUGCCAGCAGCCGCGGUAAUACGUAGGGGGCAAGCGUUAUCCGGAUUUACUGGGUGUAAAGGGAGCGUAGACGGCAGCGCAAGUCUGGAGUGAAAUCCCAUGGCUUAACCAUGGAACUGCUUUGGAAACUGUGCAGCUAGAGUGCAGGAGAGGUAAGCGGAAUUCCUAGUGUAGCGGUGAAAUGCGUAGAUAUUAGGAGGAACACCAGUGGCGAAGGCGGCUUACUGGACUGUAACUGACGUUGAGGCUCGAAAGCGUGGGGAGCAAACAGGAUUAGAUACCCGGGUAGUC
rnacentral:rRNA from 1 species